GACGAACGCUGGCGGCGUGCUUAACACAUGCAAGUCGAACGGAAAGGCCUGCUUUCCCUUGUGGAUUGCGGGUACUCGCGUGGCGAACGGGUGAGUAACACGUGAGUUAUCUGCCCCCAACUUGGGUAUAAGCCUGGGAAACUGCCUCUAAUUCCCGAUAGGACUGCAGGGUGGUGCCUAUGGUGGCACACGAUUUUCUAGUGGUUGGGGAUGAGCUCGCGGCCUAUCAGCUUGUUGGUGGGGUAAUGGCCUACCAAUGCGGCGACGGGUAGCCGGCCUGAGAGGGGGGACGGGCGAAGUGGGACUGAGAUACGGCACCGACGGCUACGGGAGGAAGCAGUGGGGAGGAUGGAACAAUGAGCGGAAGCCUGAUGCAGCGACGCUGCGUGGGGGAUGACGGGCUUGGGGUGGUAAACUCCUUGCGACAGAGAGGAAGCCACCUGGUUGGAAGGGUGGUGACGGUAGUGGUAGAAGAAGCACCGGCUAACUACGUG
rnacentral:rRNA from 1 species